rnacentral:rRNA from 1 species
GAUGAACGCUAGCUACAGGCUUAACACAUGCAAGUCGAGGGGCAGCGCAGUGUAGCAAUACAUGGGCGGCGACCGGCGCACGGGUGCGUAACGCGUAUCCAACCUUCCCGUUACUCAGGGAUAGCCUUCCGAAAGGGAGAUUAAUACCUGAUGGUGUUCAAAUUCCGCAUGUUAUUUGAACUAAAGAUUCAUCGGAAACGGAUAGGCUCGCGUGACAUUAGCUAGAUGGCGGGGUAACGGCCCACCAUGGCGACGAUGUCUAGGGGUUCUGAGAGGAAGGUCCCCCACACUGGAACUGAGACACGGUCCAGACUCCUACGGGAGGCAGCAGUGAGGAAUAUUGGUCAAUGGUCGAAGGACUGAACCAGCCAUGCCGCGUGAAGGUGACGGCCCUAUGGGUCUUAAACUUCUUUUGUAAGGGAGCAAUAAGGUUUACGUGUAGGCCGAUGAGAGUACCUUACGAAUAAGCAUCGGCUAACUCCGUG